CCGCCUGGGUGUGCCUUUGGUGAGUCAAGCUCAGCGUCUGCUUCCUGUGGCCGUGUCCUGAGCUGCUCUCUUCUGGCACGCCCUUGGGCCAUGGUGUUCUGCCGCACCUGGGCCCAGAGCAGCAGCGACCUCGGAAACGUGAGCCAGACUGACCUUUCCUCCUCUAAAGUUGUUCUCCUCAGGUCACAGCAGCAAAGAAUCCGACCGAAACAUCACCCGAAAAGUGAUGAGCCCCACACCAAGCAGCAGUCGCUUCUCCUUGGUGCCAGACACUGGGGUUUUUUGACCUGCCGAGGACGGAGGGAAAUGAAGUCAGGGUGAGCACAGGCAAGGUGGAUGUGUGGUGAUGGCUUCAGGCACAGCUGGCUCAAGCACAUCCGUGUGCUGAGGACAAGGCACAUGGCCUGCAAAGAACACACCACCCUGAGCUGACCCUGGUCGGGGGCAGCACACACCAAGCCCUGGGGCUGCUGUCCACUGUGAGCGGAGGCCAAGGGGUAUUCUUGUCCUUUGUGGUGCUGGCCCCUGACUUACAAGGUGAGCACCCAUGGAACAUGGGCGAGGGAGGACUCCCUCCAGGAAGGGGAGGUGGCACGCAGUUCAGGUACGCACCCACAGUUGGUAUGAUUUCCUUGAAUUCUCCAAAGUCCAUUUUGCAAGUGAAGACGCAGGCUCAGAGAGGUUAAGUAGCAGCCCUUGGGUCACACAGGUGGGAGUAUCAGCCAUAAAUCUAAGGAAAGUGGCCUCAGAUCACAGGUCCAAUGGUCCCGCCCAGGAAGGAGGGCAGCCUGGCAGGAAGGUGAGUCAGUCUCUGUUACAACUAAAUCUGGCUCCUUGAGUUGGGUGCUGUGAUGGUCAAUCUCAUGUGUCACCUUGGCUAGGUCUGGUGCCCAGAGAUGUGGCCUGUCACAUGUCUCAGUGAAGUUUUUUUUUUUUUUUUAAUUGUAGAUGGACACAAUACUUUUAUUUAUUUUUAUGUGGCGCUGAGGCUGGAACCCAGCACGGCACACGUGCGAGGCAGCCUCGGCCUCGACAGUGAAGGUCAAUAUUUCAAUCAGUAGCUGUGCAGUAAAGCCAAAGAUCCCCCACGUGGGUGGGUCUCAUCCAAUCUGUUGAAGGCCCCCCCCCCCACAAGAGAAAGGCAGAGGCGGCGACCGGGAUGGGAUUCCGCCUGCAGAGGCCCUGGGAGUCAAGUGCAGUCCUCCGCAAGUGCCCCUGUCGGCUGGCUUGCAGGGUGCACACUGGCCAGGCCCCUGGCCACAUGCCUGCUCCUGAAAAUCCUCGCCGGUCUGUAUGCACAGAGGCCUGUUGGGUCGGGAGAGGAAGCCCAGCCUCCUGGGCGCCACCCGCGGGCCUCACGGAAAGGAGCACCGACAACCCCGCGACGGGCCGGAGGGGCGUGGCCGGGGUGCGGG
rnacentral:lncRNA from 1 species